AUAUAAUAAAAUGAAGCCUUGAACCGCGUUUGAGCUUCUCACACUGCUGUCUGGGUUUCUUCCAAAUCCAAAGCUUGAAACUUCGGCUCCGUCAGUAUGGUAUAUGCUCUGUCCAGAUCAUUUCAGAUUCAUAACAACUGCUAAAAUAGAAAUGAGAACCUGAAUUAAUAUUCCAAAUUCAACAGCUUUGUAAUUGCCAUAUAUUAUCUUUGUUGAACGUACAGCUUAGCAACUGUCUACACUCUGAAUACAAUACCGGAUGGACUUGGUGCUGCAGCAAGGUUCUUGCUAGCUUCAACCUACAUUCAAAUCCAUGUAUACUGCACUUAUCUAUUCAUUGUUUAUUUGAUUUUUUUUUUUCGUUUUUCAUUUUCCUAUU
rnacentral:lncRNA from 1 species